AGGAGACAGAACCUCCACAACAGGGAGCUGAGGACCAAGAAAUGUCAGGGUUUAAUUUGGUCUCUGAUACUCAAUCACUGCAUGCCCUCAGGGUGGGAAACUGGAGCCAUGCUUCCAGCAGUGAGGAGUGGAGCCAGCACCACUCCGGAGGUCCACUUUGCAAUCUGUGCAGUGCAUGAACACAAGGCUGCAAAAAGAUGACGUAGAAAAUAAUGCAACUGAAAGCUCAGCAGCCCUCCUUAGUUUUCUGUUGCUGAAGCUGAAGCUGGAAGAUGAUCAGAGGAAAGCGGAGACACUGAGGUCAAGUGUCCUUGAAGUCUGUUUGUGACUAAUACAUUAAUGAGCUUAGCUGGGGAAAAUCCAAAACCAACUUGUUCUGCACCUGAGCAUGAUCAUACUAGAGCAGCGAAUUGCAGCACACCAACCAGCCUGUUGCUAGCAGAGGGGGAAAAAGUUAAACAGCCCAAGAACGUGUUGCUUUUUAUAAUAAAUACAUAAUCAUU
rnacentral:lncRNA from 7 species